GUCCCGGCUGUAAACGAUGGACACUGAAUGGAGGAGGGUUCACCUUUCUCUGUUGCAGCUAACGCGUUAAGUGUCCCGCCUGGGGAGUACGGCCGCAAGGUUAAAACUCAAAGGAAUUGACGGGGGCUCGCACAAGCGGUGGAGCAUGUGGUUCAAUUCGAUGCAACGCGAAGAACCUUACCCGGGCUUGAAGUGGAGGUGGUAGGAGCCGGAAACGGCAACGACCCCGAAAGGGGAGCCUUCAUCAGGUGUUGCAUGGCUGUCGU
rnacentral:rRNA from 1 species